rnacentral:misc_RNA from 1 species
GUAGGUGAACCUGCGGAAGGAUCAUUAAUGAAAUGUGAACAUCGUGAAAGGGUUGUUGCUGGCCUCUCUCUAUAGAGAGGUAUGUGCACGCCUUGGAUCGUUCAUCCUCCCUUUCUUACACCUGUGCACAACCUGUAGCUUGGGAUGAUCACGGGGUGUGCUGCUUUUGUGGCCGCCUCGAAUGCCCUCGCUAUGAACGCUUUUUAUAUACACCUUUAUAAAGUCUUGUAGAAUGUUGAUAAGCGUGUAACAGCGCAAAAAUAAUACAACUUUCAGCAACGGAUCUCUUGGCUCUC